rnacentral:lncRNA from 1 species
ACUAAAAUGGGGAUGAAAUUGGGCGAGGGCUGUUGACGAGCCGGAAAUGGAGAGAGAAAGAGGCGACUGACGGAGGUGGACGGAUGCGGCGUGGGUGGAUGAGGCGGCGACAUGGGUGGGGAUGGGGGUAGAUGGAGGAGGUGGACGGGGUUUGGGGAAUGAGGUAGGCUUGGGGUGUUUGCAGGCCGGGUGUUUGGGAGGUGGUGGUUGGGGUGGCGCCGGCGGUUGGGGAAGGGGGUAGGUUUGGGGGGUGUUUGGGGAUGGGUUAGGGAAGAUGACUUUUAUUUUUUUUUAAAUUAAUUAUAAAUAAAUAAAAUUAUUAAAAAAUUAAAAAAAUGACAUGUCAUAGCUGAUUUGGCAUGAAAUUGACAUGUCAUGGGUAUUUGCCAUGUCA